rnacentral:rRNA from 1 species
GUCUGGGAAACUGCCUGAUGGAGGGGGAUAACUACUGGAAACGGUAGCUAAUACCGCAUAACGUCGCAAGACCAAAGAGGGGGACCUUCGGGCCUCUUGCCAUCGGAUGUGCCCAGAUGGGAUUAGCUAGUAGGUGGGGUAACGGCUCACCUAGGCGACGAUCCCUAGCUGGUCUGAGAGGAUGACCAGCCACACUGGAACUGAGACACGGUCCAGACUCCUACGGGAGGCAGCAGUGGGGAAUAUUGCACAAUGGGCGCAAGCCUGAUGCAGCCAUGCCGCGUGUAUGAAGAAGGCCUUCGGGUUGUAAAGUACUUUCAGCGGGGAGGAAGGCGAUAAGGUUAAUAACCUUGUCGAUUGACGUUACCCGCAGAAGAAGCACCGGCUAACUCCGUGCCAGCAGCCGCGGUAAUACGGAGGGUGCAAGCGUUAAUCGGAAUUACUGGGCGUAAAGCGCACGCAGGCGGUCUGUCAAGUCGGAUGUGAAAUCCCCGGGCUCAACCUGGGAACUGCAUUCGAAACUGGCAGGCUAGAGUCUUGUAGAGGGGGGUAGAAUUCCAGGUGUAGCGGUGAAAUGCGUAUAGAUCUGGAGGAAUA